UACAGAGGGUGCGAGCGUUGUUCGGAAUUAUUGGGCGUAAAGGGCGCGUAGGCGGUGCCACAAGUCACUUGUGAAAUCCCCGGGCUUAACUCGGGGCCUGCAGGCGAAACUGUGGUGCUGGAGUAUGGGAGAGGUGCGUGGAAUUCCCGGUGUAGCGGUGAAAUGCGUAGAUAUCAGGAGGAACACCUGCGGUGUAGACGGCUUUCUGGACCAUAGCUGACGCUGAGACACGAAAGCGUGGGUAGCAAACAGG
rnacentral:rRNA from 1 species